UACACUUUGUGAAAGUACAUUCAGACUCUACACAAUCUCUUGUGUUGGUUCUGUUUGUCAUUCAUUCGCCGACUCCUUGUCCACCUGCAACCAGAGACCUGUUCUAUGCAGACAGGGACCAAAAGUUUACAACAGUUUGGCGCCUUCGAACAGGGACACUGGGGCAGCUGAACCUUCUCACUGGCUCAGGAUUUGUUCUUAACAUGCAAGCAUGUAGACCCGGGAAAACAACAUGGCGCCAUGGAGAGUAAAGAAAAUGAACGUGUCAUCUGUUCACCAUCUGGGAGUUGGGUGAUGGUUUUGAUUUUAUAAAGAAAAACAGAGUUAGCACAGAAAGGUCAAGGUCCCAGCAGGGAUGUAGCUCCUUUGGAAGAGUGCUUCCCCAGUGUGCUUAAGGGUCUGGGCUGAGCCCCAGCACUGUAUAAGUGACAACUGCUUAAUGUGCACAAGGUGACUCUUACCUGGCAGUGGCAACUACAGCCCCAGUUCUCUGAGAGUGGAGUCAGGAAAAUCACAUUUUAGACUAGCCUCCAGGUCCCGCCUUCAGUUCCUGCCAUGGCUUUUCUGAUGGCAGACUGCACACUGUGAGAUGGAAUAAUUCCUCUCCUCUCCAGACCCCUUUUGUGCAUUUUGGUAUUUUGUCACAGUAAUAGAAGCCAGAGGACAGGUAUGGGAACCAGAGGUGGAGUAUUGCUGUGACUGGCCCCCAACUGUGGGGUUUUGGGAGGAUUAUGGGAGGGUUCCUGAACUUUGGCUAGAAAAGCCAUUGAGUGUUCAGAGCUCAAUGUGCUAUAAAUAAUAAAAGAUAAUGCCGAGGGCUAUACAGAUGAUGGAGAGCUGGCUCAUGAACUUUCAGAGGGAAGUUUGAGAGCCACUUAAAGACUCUAUCAGGGCUGUUUGAUAUUUUGAGCUUUAAGAAUCUGGGAUUCUGGGUCAGCUAGAGCUGAAGAAUUGGCCAUGGUUCACAAGAGACCAGCACCAACAAAGUUAAAACUUUGUUUUACUAAGAUGAUUGGUGCUAGUUAGCUGGAGCUGUCCUGUUAGUGGUAAGUAACAAGAAACCAGUAUCACUCGGGUGAAAUCUUUUGUGAAAGGUUUCCUCAGGUCAGCACACAGAAGCCAUGAUUCAGAGCAGCCAAGGCCAUACCUUGCGCUGGCAGUCAAAUUUGGCAAUACAUAUGAGUCUGCCAGGUACUGGCCAAGGCCAUACCUUGUGCUGGCAGUCAAAUUUGGCAAUACAUAUGAGUCUGCCAGGUACUGACCAAGGCCAUACCUUGUGCUGGCAGUCAAAUUUGGCAAUACAUAUGAGUCUGCCAGGUACUGGCCAAGGCCAUACCUUGUGCUGGCAGUCAAAUUUGGCAAUGCAUAUGAGUCUGCCAGGUACUGGCCAAGGCCAUACCUUGCGCUGGCAGUCAAAUUUGGCAAUACAUAUGAGUCUGCCAGGUACUGACCAAGGCCAUACCUUGCGCUGGCAGUCAAAUUUGGCAAUACAUAUGAGUCUGCCAGGUACUGACCAAGGCCAUACCUUGUGCUGGCAGUCAAAUUUGGCAAUACAUAUGAGUCUGCCAGGUACUGGCCAAGGCCAUACCUUGUGCUGGCAGUCAAAUUUGGCAAUGCAUAUGAGUCUGCCAGGUACUGGCCAAGGCCAUACCUUGUGCUGGCAGUCAAAUUUGGCAAUACAUAUGAGUCUGCCAGGUACUGACCAAGGCCAUACCUUGCGCUGGCAGUCAAAUUUGGCAAUACAUAUGAGUCUGCCAGGUACUGGCCAAGGCCAUACCUUGUGCUGGCAGUCAAAUUUGGCAAUACAUAUGAGUCUGCCAGGUACUGGCCAAGGCCAUACCUUGCGCUGGCAGUCAAAUUUGGCAAUACAUAUGAGUCUGCCAGGUACUGACUUUGAGGCUGAGGCUUGGACCCAUUAGAAGCCACUGGCAAGGGUACAGCCUCAGCUGCCCUCAAAGCUCCAGGAUUGACGGGGCUGUGGACAUGAGCUGAGGCCUGGCACCGUGUGGCAAGGUCAGACUCACUGAAGAGAGCUCAAAAGAAGAUAUUGGUGAAGGUAUAGCCUAGUGGCAGAGACCACAGCAUUUUGCAAAUGCCAGGACCAUAGGAUGAUCACCAAGGACAUUGGUAGCUGUGCACCGGAGCUGAUCUGAGCCUCAGAGGCAAGCUGUAUGUGAAUGAGAGAGGCAGAGAAGUGCUGUGCCGAGGCUCUUUGGAUCCCAGUCAAUCAUGAGUGAGUCCCACUGCUGGACUCUGGUGUUGCUUUAAUUUUAUUGUGAUUGUGCCCUGGGUUUUGGAAUAAGAAAGUAUUUAACUUUUUUUUUUUUUUAAUCCCACAGGAUUCCACAAUUAGACUUGAAAAUUUUAUAGAGAUUUCAGAAUUUUACAGACUUUGGAGAUUUUAGAGAAAGUUUUGGAUUUACAUGAGAUUUAGGACUUUUUAAAAAGAGACAACUUUUAAAGCAUUUGAAUGUUUGAAGACUGUGAACCUUUUUUUAAAAAAAGUUUUUUUAAACCCUCUUUUAAGUUAUUUAUGUUUAUGUUGUAAUAUUAAUGUUAAUGUGCAAUAUAUUAGAGAUGAACAAGAAAAGUUAUGGCAUGUUUGAGUUGACUAGGGUUCCAUUGUGCUGGCUAAUUUUAUGCCAACUUGACAUAAGUUAGAGUCAUUUUAGAAAAGGGAACUUCAGUUGAGCAAAUGUCUCCACCAGGUUGGCCUCAGAGAAGGCUGUGAUGCAUUUUCUUGAUUGAUGACUGAUGUGGGAGGGACCAGCUCACUGGGGAUGCUGCCAUUCCUGCGAUGGUUGUACUGGGAGGUAUAAGAAGGUAGACUAGGCAAGCCAUGAGGAGUAAGCCAGUUAACAAUGUUCCUCCAUGGCCUCUGCAUAGGUUCCUGCCUCCAGACUCCUGCCCUGACUUCCUGGGUGAAAGACUACAACUGUAAGAUAAAAUAAACCCUUUCUUCCCUUUGUGGUCAAGGUGUUUUAUCAUAACCAUAGAAACCCUAAUUAGCAUAGAGCCUAAAGGCAAGUCUACUCAUCUGACCUUUUCAAUAUCUAACACCUGAUCUUUUCAGACUGCCUCUUACUUCUUUAUGUUCCCCAACAAGUCCAUAAAGAUGUUUCUGCUUCUUCACCUCCACCACCACUUGCCCAUCAUCAGGUCUGGGGAGCAGUAAAGGUGGUUGCCAAGGGGAGGAGUCAUUCACCCACACUGUUAGAAAAAGAUGGGUUCCCCACAAAAGUGCUCUUGGUGUCCUGUGAGUAGAAAGCAUACAUGUAAGAAUGUGUAAUCUCCCUGACUCCCCUUCCUAUGAGUUAUAAAAUGAACACGUCCACAGAGAACCCUGGUGCUGAGUCAGGUAGCCCUCCCUAGUUCUUAUGCUUUCUCUUGUCAGAAUGGCUUUCCUCAAGACACCAUGGUCCUCUGUUGGCUGAUUCUUUUGUAAUAGAAUGGCGUGGGUCACAUGUUGGAGAGUACCCAGCACAAACACAGCCGAGACCCGAAAGAAUGGAAAGAGAUAAAGUUACCUCCAGCUGAAACUGAAGGAGGGAAUUCAAGUAAGUUGCCACCAUGAUGGAAGAAACUGAGAUGGAGACAACUCAGAAUCUAUCCUGAAUGGAUAGAAGAACCUUUGAGUUCACCUAUGAGCAGUACCAGAAGCUAAGAAAACACUUCAAGACAGACUGGAACUCUAAGGAAGCAACUCUGCAGGUCUUGGCUGAGGAACUCAAACUGACCAAAGGGGUCAUCAGAUACUGGUUCUUCAAGCAGCAUCAAAGAGAGAUGAGGCACAAGCCGUUUUGGGGGUGCUUCAGGAAUUGGGGAAUGCUCUGUCCCCGGUAUUCAUUCAGAGUGACCACCAGGCAGAAGAACUCCAAGGAGUGCUCUUAAAAAUGACCCUGGACUGCCCGAAGCUUUGGAAGCCUUGAAGAGUCUCACACUCUCUCCUGGGUAGCAAAGCAGAGAUGGCAUGUCACAGGAUUUCUGACUCUAGCAUAUCUAGCAGAUGCUCUGUUUGUUAAUGUUUUUCCAAAUUCCUUGUUGGGGUACGGGAUGUUGGUUCUUAUGUCUAUCAAUGGUACAUAAAUAAUAAACCUAGCUAUUCCCACA